GGGAUUGUGGCUCAGUGGUAGAGCGCUCACCUAGCAUGUGCGAGGCCCUGGGUUCGAUCCUCAGCAUCACA
rnacentral:tRNA from 1 species